GUAGAAGAGAGAAAGCAGUGAACAGAUUCAUCUUCCCUUCUAUAUCUGAAAGGAUAAGCAGGCUGUGCUUUCCAGAGUGGUGCCUGUAUGGUGGGAAGCUGUGAGCCAAAGGGAGAAGACAAAGUGACACAGGUGACAGCCACGAUUUUCUACCCAGAAUGCGUGACCUAUCCAAUCCUUUCUCUCAUGGAAACACCAACUCAUCCAUGCCCUCUGUGCUGAAACUUCGUCUCAGCCUGCUGGAAUCACCUGCACCCCAUGGGAACUGUAGCCAUAUCUUCAGUCCUGUGAGCCCCCGUCAUGGCCUGUCACAGGAGUAAAUGAGGAGUAAGGCCCAGAAUACUCAGUACCUCUCAAUGACCCUCAGACGCUGUAGGAAGAGGAUUGGUUCACCUUUUAACCAAGAAUUUCUCACAUUGAAUGGACAGGAUGCAUUCCAAGAGGCCAGAGUAUUUGCAUCGCAGCUCCUGAUGGUUUCCACCACCACCAUUACUUUCUCUAUGUCAAGAUAACUGGGAAGCCGGAAAGGCCACAUGGAAAGCAGUGCUCCUCUUCUUCACUGGAUGUGAUCAUUUUUGCAUAAGAGAUUACUGAAUCAUCUUGCAAUAACAUAAGACUUGCCUGCCUGCCAAAAUAAGACUUGCUCUGCUAAGGAUGGCAGAGCAGGGAAAGGAGGAAGCACCCAGGUCCUUGACAAGUGUUUAAUUUGCAUUCUUGGAGCCCAGGAACUGUCUUCUACAAACUUUUCUUCCUAGUACCAUGUAAACGUACACAGGAAACGUUCAGAAAACAUCAGCCAAAUAGAAGAAUAAGGAAAUUCCUUCACUGACUAGAUAUUGGUGUUUGAUUCUGUCCUUCUUUGUACUCAUUGGCUAUUUCGGGGUUUCCAUUGCGGAAAACUAUUUGGAAAAUUGCAAGCCACGAGACAAGCCUCUAAGCUACUCCAGGAUCAUUGAGGACUCUCCAUGGGUUCUUAUUGUUAAAGAGUUUAACCCCUCAAGCCACUGCAUUUUUACUAUAUGCCUUGAACUACAAGAUGUGUUAAGAUUUAUAGGAUAAGGUUCUCAUCUCUAAAAACUCAUGGUCUCGGUGGAGAAGCAGUAUUUACACACAUGGAGAAGUUGAGAGUACUUGAAUGUGGAGUAUAAAGCGUGCGAUAUUGACAAGAAGCUCUAUGAAAGUUCAGGAAGAGGAGGAGCAAGUGAGGAUGGAGAUGGACUUUGCAGAAUGGAGGAGAGGCAAAGAAACGGUUAGAAACAAUCUACAUAACGAAAAGUCACUUUUGGGAGUUGUUUUAAGGCAGAGUAUCAUAUCGCAUCAAAACUGCUCCAUAAGUCCUGCCACUCCAUGUGCAAUGCCAUGAACUUGAAGAAAUUGCUGGUUAGAAGAAUCUUGGUCAUCCAGAAAGCUUGCUAUAGCUGCCCAGCAUUUGCCUCCUCCACAAAGAAAGACCAAAAUAACAAGUAGACAAUCACAUGCCAAAUAAAAUGUCUAAAGGAGAGCACUGAAGCUCAGCAAAAACGUUACAAAGACCCUCUGAGGUGCAGAAACUCGGGAUGGCAGCACAAAGAGGAAAGCAAAGCAGCCGGUCAGGAUCAGCUCACAGCCAAGGGUGCCCCGCCUUGAGUAGGAAAGGUUCUUGAAGCGAUUCUAAAUGCUGAUCUGCUGGAAUGAUGGCUUCACUGCACAAGAAUUCUGCUUACUUCAUUGAAGUCUCCUCGAAGAAGUCAGUCUGAGAAUGGGGGAAUUCCAUUGUUGGUCAGAAGAAUUCUUUGGUCACUACUGGAAGUGGGUUCAGUUUAGGGUGACUAUUGAUCAACAGGGUUCAUGGGUUUGCUAAAACUCAUUUCAGGCAAGCUUUGGAAGUGCAGUUCGCUUGGUGCUUAUGGGGUUAAAAACAGGAGAGAGGGAAUUUCACAUUAUUGGAGGGCCUGAAAGGAAACUGAUCCCCACAAGAUGCUCAGACAAGAUCAAACCCAGCCCCUUUUCUGGUUUGGAAUUUCUCUGGGCUAUAAAGGUAGAAGAAAAGGCCCUGCAUGGGCCCACUCUAAGUGCUUGGAGGUUUUAGAUAAUUUUAUUAAAUUGUAGCAAUCUUAAACAGAACUACAAGUUUGCUUUUAAAACCAGAUCUCAGAUUUCUUUGAGCUAACAAAUGGUAAAAUGUAUCUUUAGUAUCAGAGUGAGAUAAAGGUAGUUAUAACUUUUUUUCUUUUUUACUUAUUUUAUGUUAACGUAUGCAAUAAAGGGUACAAAUUGUAGGUACGCAGCUCAUUGAAUUUUUAUGUCUGCACAUGCCCAUGAAACCAACACCCAGAGUAAGAUGCGGAUAAUUUUCUGCUCCCCUGAAAAUUCCCUUGUGCCUUUUCCUCAUCAGUACCUCCAAAGGUAACCACUAUUUUGAUUUCCAUUACCAUAGAUGAGUUAUACUUGUUUUUGAAAAGAUUAUUUGAAAUGUGUAAUAUAAAUAUUAGCAGUUGCUUAUCUUACAGAAAUAUCACUGAGAAUUCAUUUCUUCUCUCCUGCAUUUAUUCAUUUGUUCAAAACACUGUCUAGUACCAACAUUGUCCACCGGGCAUUGAGAAUACAAUAUUAAAGAAGAGUCACUGCCUACCCUCAGGAAAAAUCAGAGUAUUUGAAAGAAUACACACGAGUAAACAGGCAGCUAUGGCAAAGUGGGUAAAAGCUGCAAAACGGGGAAGUUUCGCCAAGUGUCAGAUGCCAAGAAGAAAGGGUGCACGACAUAGACUUGGGGGGGUCAGUAGUGGUUUCUGGAACGAGUGACAUUUAGACUGAAACUGGAAGGAUAUGAGUAAGGGCUAAUCGGACCAAGAUGAAGAGAUACAGAAGCAGAAGAAACAGUAGGAACAAAUGCUCAGAGGCAAAAGAAAGCUUUGAAUAUUUGAGGGACUGAAAAGCAAAACAACAAAAAAUAGCCAUCCCUUGACUAGACAAGUGACCUGGGGUCAGAUCCUGAAGGGCUUUGCAGAUCACUUUUCUGCUUGUAGACUUUGUACUUGGCUUUAAGGGCCAUGGAGAGCCACUGAAGCAUUUUCAGCAAGGGACUGUCAUCAUCAGAUUGGUACUUGUUUUGAAGUAGCACAUGUAAGAGAAAAUAACAAUAUGGACAAAUAAAGAGUUUGAAAAACAACUUUGCUUUGAUACUUUAGGAUGAAAUAUCUGAGAAAGCAGCGCCCCCCCCCCCCAUCAGCCAUUUUUAAUGACACUACUAUUUGAGCACAAGUUGCAAGAAAAUUUGCAACAAAUAAAUAGGCUUUUUCUGUAGAACAUAAAGCAGGGAUGUUUGAACGAUGCGUUAUUUGAAUUCCAUCUUAGUAGGAAGCCAUCCAUAAUAGGAGGAAGUUGAGGAAUAGGCCUAAUGUUCACAGUGGCACAGGUGGGGUUUGCAUCUGCCUUCAAUGUUCCUAUGAUACGAAUCCUCCACUGCAGAAAAUUCCUCGUGGAAUUUUCUAUUUUAUGUGUUAAACUUUAUCGAAAUCUUUUCCUGAUGUUUAUGUUUCUGUGAUAAUCAUUAUUAAACUGAAAAAUGCGGAAGAAAA